rnacentral:rRNA from 1 species
GUGAAAUCCAUCCCCCGUCGAUUCUGUUUUCUCAAAAAGAAAAAAUCUAUUCCCGAUCGAGGCGCAGCGGAGCGACCGCAUCGAAUCUAUCCACUCUGGAUUCGAGACGCAGAGAGGAGCCGAUCGAUCCAGUCCGGAUUCGAGCACCGCUACGGCUGAGGUGAGGGAUGGAUCGAGUCCAUCCGUGCGCUGGGAUCAAGAGAAGGAUUCGGAUGCAACCGAUGCGCUCGAGCGUCGACGGUGUCGAGCGGAGGCAGGUGAUUCGGGUCCAGCCGAGGCGCCCUAGCGCGCAAUGGGAUCGAGUGCAGAACCGCCGGCGGCGCAAGGAUUAAGGCUGAUGGUCUUCAUCGAGUAACAGUUCAUCGAGGUGGCGAUGCCGAUCGAGAGAGCCUUAGUUAUGGUGUAGGCGGGCAAUUAGUACAAGGAGGCGGUGCAAACGGCUCAAGGAUACAAAGGUGGAUGCGCAGGAUGAAGCCACGGUGUCUCGCUGGUGCAAGAGGAGGAGGCGGGGGCGACCACUACACUAGCAACCUCGUCGGCGCAAGAGUAACAGUACACAUCGAAAAGCGCCUAGGUAGGACGGUAAUGUCGAGGAUGCAAGGAGGAAGAGGAUAUGUGUGCCGCUCUUUCUUACCAUGACUGUAUUCUUGGUUGAUUUACAUAUAUGUAUGUGCUCGUAUUUCCGCUGGUGAAAGCAAUAGUGUGAAGGCAAACUAUUUUACACUAUUCACUUAUAAUGAAACUCUUUGCCGAUAUCAUGUAUUUAUACAUCCUAAACCUACUUCAUCUGGCAUCAAUUGUCAUGAUACAAUUUGCAAGGCUGUAUGGGCAAUCAUGUUUAGGUGGGCGUCUUCCUGCAUAUGAUGGAAAUAAAAGCUUAUAUACAUCUUGUCCAUUUCCAUUUACUUAUGAGGCUUUUGAAUUAGUACUACUUGAUCAGGAAGACAGUCUUCAUGGUGGGCAAGUCAGAGAUGUAUGAUAUUCUGGGCAUAUCAAUAACCCUGUUCUAAUUAAUUGCUUACUGAUGUUGAUGCUCUCUGAAGGCG